AAGGUUCUAGUAAAACAACAUUACAUCACCUUGUCAGGGUGAAAUUGUGGGCUAGAACCCCACGAAUCUUA
rnacentral:tRNA from 1 species